rnacentral:rRNA from 1 species
UAGGGAAUCUUCGGCAAUGGGGGGAACCCUGACCGAGCAACGCCGCGUGAGUGAAGAAGGUUUUCGGAUCGUAAAGCUCUGUUGUUAAGGAAGAACGAGUGUGAGAAUGGAAAGUUCAUACUGUGACGGUACUUAACCAGAAAGGGACGGCUAACUACGUGCCAGCAGCCGCGGUAAUACGUAGGUGGCAAGCGUUGUCCGGAUUUAUUGGGCGUAAAGCGAGCGCAGGCGGUCAAUUAAGUCUGAUGUGAAAGCCCCCGGCUCAACCGGGGAGGGUCAUUGGAAACUGGUUGACUUGAGUGCAGAAGAGGAGAGUGGAAUUCCAUGUGUAGCGGUGAAAUGCGUAGAUAUAUGGAGGAACACCAGUGGCGAAGGCGACUCUCUGGUCUGUAACUGACGCUGAGGCUCGAAAGCAUGGGUAGCAAACAGG